AUUGAACUCUGGCGGCAGGCCUAACACAUGCAAGUCGAGCGAGCGGCGGACGGUUGAGUAAUGUCUGGGAAACUGCCUGAUGGAGGGGGAUAACUACUGUAAACGGUAGCUAAUACCGCAUACCAUCAGAUGUGCCCAGAUGGUAUUAGCUAGUAGGUGGGGUAACGGCUCACCUAGGCGACGAUCCCUAGCUGUUCUGAGAGGAUGACCAGCCACACUGGAACUGGGACACGGGCCAGACGCCUACGGGAGGCAGCAGUGGGGAAUAUUGCACAAUGGGCGAAAGCCGGAUGCAGCCAUGCCGCGUGUGUGAAGAAGGCCUUCGGGUUGUAAAGCACGUGCAGCGGGGAGGCGUUAACCGCAGAAGAAGCACCGGCUAACUCCGUGCCAGCAGCAGCGGUAAUAC
rnacentral:rRNA from 1 species